GAUGAACGCUCGCGGCAGGCCUAAUACAUGCAAGUCGUACGGGAUCCCUUGAUAGCUUGCUCUCAAUGGUGAGAGUGGCGCACGGGUGCGUAACGCGUGAGCAACCUGCCUCCAUCAGGGGGAUAGCCUCUCGAAAGAGAGAUUAACACCGCAUAAUAUCAACAGUUCGCAUGUUCAGUUGAUUAAAUAUUUAUAGGAUGGAGAUGGGCUCGCGUGACAUUAGCUAGUUGGUAGGGUAACGGCUUACCAAGGCGACGAUGUCUAGGGGCUCUGAGAGGAGAAUCCCCCACACUGGUACUGAGACACGGACCAGACUCCUACGGGAGGCAGCAGUAAGGAAUAUGGGUCAAGGGGCGGAAGCCUGAACCAGCCAUGCCGCGUGCAGGAUGACUGCCCUAUGGGUUGUAAACUGCUUUUGUCCAGGAAUAAACCUAAAUACGAGUAUUUAGCUGAAUGUACUGGAAGAAUAAGGAGCGGCUAACUCCGUG
rnacentral:rRNA from 1 species